rnacentral:rRNA from 1 species
GAUGUACGCUAGCGGCAGGCUUAACACAUGCAAGUCGAGGGGUAUAGUUCUUCGGAGCUAGAGACCGGCGCACGGGUGCGUAACGCGUAUGCAAUCUACCUUUUGCAGAGGGAUAGCCCAGAGAAAUUUGGAUUAAUACCUCAUGGUAUGUGAGAAUGGCAUCAUUUUCACAUUAAAGUCACAACGGCAAAAGAUGAGCAUGCGUCCCAUUAGCUAGUUGGUAAGGUAACGGCUUACCAAGGCAACGAUGGGUAGGGGUCCUGAGAGGGAGACCCCCCACACUGGUACUGAGACACGGACCAGACUCCUAGGGGAGGCAGCAGUGAGGAAUAUUGGACAGUGGGCGCAAGCCUGAUCCAGCCAUGCCGCGUGCAGGAUGACGGUCCUAUGGAUUGUAAACUGCUUUUGUACAGGAAGAAACACUGGUUCGUGAACCAGCUUGACGGUACUGUAAGAAUAAGGAUCGGCUAACUCCGUGCCAGCAGCCGCCGUAAUAC